rnacentral:piRNA from 1 species
UGCUUACACUAAUCAGCGUGACCUGGAC